AUACGGAGGAUGCGAGCGUUAUCCGGAUUUAUUGGGUUUAAAGGGUGCGUAGGCUGUGCGUUAAGUCAGGGGUGAAAUGCCGUCGCUCAACGACGGAGCUGCCCUUGAUACUGGCGUGCUGGAGUACGGAUGCCGUUGGAGGAAUGCGUGGUGUAGCGGUGAAAUGCUUAGAUAUCACUCAGAACACCGAUUGCGAAGGCAUCUGACGAAUCCGUCACUGACGCUGAGGCACGAAAGCGUGGGGAUAGAACAGGAUUAGAUACCCUGGUAUUCCACGCCGUAAACGAUGAUGACUAACCGUCGGCGAUAGACAGCCGGUGGCCAAGCGAAAGCGAUAAGUCAUCCACCUGGGGAGUACGUCGGCAACGAUGAAACUCAAAGGAAUUGACGGGG
rnacentral:rRNA from 1 species